rnacentral:rRNA from 1 species
GAUGAACGCUAGCGGCAGGCCUAACACAUGCAAGUCGAGGGGUAACUAGAGUGAUAGCAAUAUUACUUUGGCUAGACCGGCGCACGGGUGCGUAACACGUAUGCAACCUACCUUAUACUGGGGAAUAACUUCGAGAAAUCGGCGCUAAUACCCCAUAACAUUGCGAAGAGGCAUCUCUUUGCAAUUAAAGCUCCGGCGGUAUAAGAUGGGCAUGCGUCCAAUUAGCUAGUUGGUGAGGUAACGGCUCACCAAGGCUACGAUUGGUAGGGGUUCUGAGAGGAUGAUCCCCCACACUGGUACUGAGACACGGACCAGACUCCUACGGGAGGCAGCAGUGAGGAAUAUUGCGCAAUGGACGAAAGUCUGACGCAGCCAUGCCGCGUGCAGAAUGACGGCUCUAUGGGUUGUAAACUGCUUUUGUACGGAAAUAAACCCUUCUACGUGUAGGAGGCUGAAGGUACCGUAAGAAUAAGCACCAGCUAACUCCGUGCCAGCCGCCGCCGUAA